CUUUCGGUAGCCUCUUCGGCAAGAGUCGAAUGUCUGGCUCUCACGGAGUUCAACUGCUUGUGGCUGCAUUGCAGAGAUGUUUUUUACAGAUAGAUAGGAAGGAAUGUGAGAUGGAUUGCAUCUUUGAUGGAGAUAACUAAGCACAUCUGCUAUUUCUAUAUGGCAUUUGCCAGCAUCGCUCCAUUUUGAAAUCUCUUGUCAUUCCAGCAGUCCCUGAAGAUUCCCAGCAGAAUGCUGUAGUGGGCAUGUGUGAAGAUGAAGAUCUGAAAAUUUCAGAUAGAUCUGAAAUAUGAGCAGAAGAAGGGAGCUGAAUGCUGAUGAUGCUGUCCUGCCAGACAGCAAUAGGGAUGCUGUGUGCAAAAGAAGAGACAUACUUCUCCAUCUGCAUGAGAUGCAUUGCCUACAGACACCUCCUCCAAAGACAGUUGCUGCACUUCACGAGCUCCUCCCAGCUGGGACCUUUUCACUCCUUGGAAAGUUGCUCCCCUCUUUGAACACCAGAGACAUCUACUGCUGGAGUCCUCUCAGAGUGUCCUGUGGCCCUCAUGGUUGCCUCAUCUGA
rnacentral:lncRNA from 1 species